CUACGGGCUGCUGCAGUGAGGAAUAUUGCACAAUGGGGGAAACCCUGAUGCAGCAACGCCGCGUGGAGGAUGACGCAUUUCGGUGUGUAAACUCCUUUUAUAUGUCAAGAAAAUGACGGUAGCAUAUGAAUAAGCACCGGCUAACUCCGCGCCAGCAGCCGCGGUAAUACGGAGGGUGCAAGCGUUACUCGGAAUCACUGGGCGUAAAGGACGCGUAGGCUGGUUGGUAAGUCAGGUGUGAAAUCCUACAGCUUAACUGUAGAACUGCACUUGAAACUACCAACCUAGAGUAUGGGAGGGGGAGAUGGAAUUAGUGGUGUAGGGGUAAAAUCCGUAGAUAUCACUAGGAAUACCGAAAGCGAAGGCGAUCUCCUGGAACAUAACUGACGCUAAGGCGUGAAAGCGUGGGGAGCAAACAGGAUUAGAUACCCUCGUAGUC
rnacentral:rRNA from 1 species